UACAGAGGGUGCGAGCGUUAAUCGGAAUUACUGGGCGUAAAGCGCACGUAGGCGGCUUGGUAUGUCGGGUGUGAAAUCCCCGGGCUCAACCUGGGAACUGCAUCCGAAACUGCCUUGCUAGAGUAUGGGAGAGGGAAGUGGAAUUUCCGGUGUAGCGGUGAAAUGCGUAGAUAUCGGAAGGAACAUCAGUGGCGAAGGCGACACACUGGGUCUCAACUGACGCUGAGGCACGAAAGCCAGGGGAGCAAACGGG
rnacentral:rRNA from 1 species